GGGCGAUUGGUCUAGUGGUAUGACAUCUGCUUAGCACCGACGGAGAAUUGCUCUUUCGAGCGAAUCCCGGUGAUACUGCUGAAGGUCCCGCGUUCAAUUCGCGGAUUGUCCA